CUCGUGGCGAAUAGCUCAGUAACACGUGGCCAAACUACCCUUCGGAGNNCAAUACCCUCGGGAAACUGAGGUUAAUAGCGCAUACCAUACCACCACUGGAAUGAGUGGUAUGCCAAACGCUCCGGCGCCGAAGGAUGUGGCUGCGGCCGAUUAGGUAGACGGUGGGGUAACGGCCCACCGUGCCAAUAAUCGGUAUGGGUCAUGAGAGUGAGAACCCAGAGACGGAAUCUGAGACAAGAUUCCGGGCCCUACGGGGCGCAGCAGGCGCGAAACCUUUACACUGCACGACAGUGCGAUAGGGGGAUCCCAAGUGCACAGGCAUAGCGCCUGUGCUUUUCGNCACCCUAAGGCGGUGNCAGAAUAAGGGCUGGGCAAGACCGGUGCCAGCCGCCGCGGUAAUACCGGCAGCCCAAGUGAUGGCCGAUCUUAUUGGGCCUAAAGCGUCCGUAGCUGGCCACGCAAGUCCAUCGGGAAAUCCACCUGCCCAACAGGUGGGCGCCCGGUAGAAACUGCGUGGCUUGGGACCGGAAGGCGCGACGGGUACGUCCGGGGUAGGAGUGAAAUCCCGUAAUCCUGGACGGACCGCCGAUGGCGAAAGCACGUCGCGAGAACGGAUCCGACAGUGAGGGACGAAAGCCAGGGUCUCGAACCGGAUUAGAUACCCGGGUAGUCCUGGCCGUAAACAAUGUCUGCUAGGUGUGGCUC
rnacentral:rRNA from 1 species